rnacentral:lncRNA from 1 species
GUCCCAGCCGACCUUGAGGCUGCCGCCGCGAGUCUGCCAUCGUCCAAGGAGGUGGCAGAGCUGAAGAAGCAGGUGGAGAGUGCCGAGCUGAAGAACCAGCGGCUCAAGGAGGUUUUCCAGACCAAGAUCCAGGAGUUCCGCAAGGCCUGCUACACGCUCACCGGCUACCAGAUCGACAUCACCACGGAGAACCAGUACCGGCUGACCUCGCUGUACGCCGAGCACCCAGGCGACUGCCUCAUCUUCAAGGCCACCAGCCCCUCGGGUUCCAAGAUGCAGCUACUGGAGACAGAGUUCUCACACACCGUGGGCGAGCUCAUCGAGGUGCACCUGCGGCGCCAGGACAGCAUCCCUGCCUUCCUCAGCUCGCUCACCCUCGAGCUCUUCAGCCGCCAGACCGUGGCGUAGCCUGCAGGCUCGGGGGCAUAGCCGGAGCCACUCUGCUUGGCCUGACCUGCAGGUCCCCUGCCCCGCCAGCCACAGGCUGGGUGCACGUCCUGCCUCUCCAGCCCCACAGGGCAGCAGCAUGACUGACAGACACGCUGGGACCUACGUCGGGCUUCCUGCUGGGGCGGCCAGCACCCUCUCCACGUGCAGACCCCAUGCGUCCCGGAGCCUGGUGUGUGGGCGUCGGCCACCAGCCUGGGUUCCUCACCUUGUGAAAUAAAAUCUUCUCCCCUAGAC